rnacentral:rRNA from 1 species
UACGUAGGUGGCAAGCGUUGUUCGGAAUAACUGGGUGUAAAGGGAGCGCAGGCGGGAAGCCAAGUCAGCUGUGAAAACUACGGGCUUAACUUGUAGACUGCAGUUGAAACUGGUUUUCUUGAGUGAAGUAGAGGUUGGCGGAAUUCCGAGUGUAGCGGUGAAAUGCGUAGAUAUUCGGAGGAACACCGGUGGCGAAGGCGGCCAACUGGGCUUUAACUGACGCUGAGGCUCGAAAGUGUGGGGAGCAAACAGG